UACAGGGUGCCCAAAUCGCUUCGAGGCGUAAAUUGGAAAGCCUACACUCCACUACUGAUUUCAAUAGGUCCUCUUCACCGCGAGACUAAAAGAAUAGAGGCCAUGCAAAAUCAUAAAUGGAGAUGUUUCAAAGAGUUUACUGAACAGGAUGGGAUGAAUGAGCAGAAAAUUAGGGAUCUUGUGAUCAGCAUUCAGAAUAAAGAAAAGUAUAUCCGAAUCUGCUAUUCAGAGAAAUUCAACAGAAUCAGUAGCUGUGAUUUCAUAGAGAUGAUCUUGCUGGAUGCUGUUUUCAUCAUCAAGUUUUUGAAUGAGUAUCAACAGCCUAAUCAUUUUGAGCCCAGGAUGAUGUUUGACAUACGAGAAGACUUGAUUCUACUUGAAAACCAACUACCUUUCUCCAUCAUUCGGGAUAUAUAUCAAGAGAUCAAUCGUGAUCUCCAAGAUGCAACAUGGGAAUCUUUUCUUGAUCUUGUUACCUAUGUUUUUGGAAAGCACACAGGCGAUAUUGCUACGUUUCAUUUUGAAAAGCACAAGUUUUCACAAGUGGAAGAAACCAGACAGAUUGUAAAGGGAAGCAAGCAUUUCACUGAUUUACUAAGGAGUUUUAUGCUGAAGGGAUCCAUUGAACGAACUUAUAGUUUUAAUCCUAUCAAGCUUAAAUAUAGUGCGGUCAUGCUUCGCAAGGCAGGAGUGAAGUUUCAGGUCACCCAAGACAAAUGCUUGGUCAACAUAAAAUUUGAGAAAGGAGUGUUGAAAAUACCACGCUUGGAAGUUGAUCACAGCUUCGAACGUCUUGUACGAAAUAUCAUGGCCUUGGAGCAGUGCUGCUACCAGCGAGAAGCUUACGUAUGCAGUUACAUUAAGUUUAUGGAUCAUCUUAUCGACAGUGCAGAAGACGUGGGUUUGCUAGUCCGAAAGGGAAUCAUUCUCCACUGGCUAGGUGACGAUGCCGCAGUUUCAAAUGUGAUUAACAAUUUUUGCGAAAAUAUUGGUAACAAUUACACUUGUUUUGGUGAUAUCUCUCAAGAGAUAAAUUCCCACUAUGAGAGCCGCUUUAACCAUACGAAAGCAACCUUGAAACUUGUAUAUUUCGCCAAUAUUUGGAGAGGUACGGCAACUGUUGCAGCAGCUAUCCUGCUCAUCCUCACUUUCAUACAGACUAUAAGUUCCGUAAAAUCGUUAUAAUGAUUUUAUCUUGCUUAGUUUCAUUGCUCCUACGUAAUAAUGGAUUGGAUUGUUAUUGUUAAUUUCCUUUGAAAAAUGUUUUUAAAUUGUGAGUUUGUGUUGUUCUGAACCAAUAAUAUGAUGGUAAUACAUUAGAUAUUAUUGAUGAAAGCUAGCAAUUUAGACUACAAGUUUUAUCCAUGAUCUAAGCUCAAUAUUACCAAACAAAUUAAAUUUAUUGGGUGUCAGCCCAUAUUAAAUUAAAAACACAAUCUAAAUACAUUUCAUGGUUCUUACUUGUAGAAAACAAAUUAACUAAGGAUAUUUUAAGUAAUUUUCAUUUUAAUUUUUCAAAGAUAUCCUUUAAAUUAGGGGCAUUUGAGAUAAAUUGCACAUAACUUGUCUAUAAAUCAAGGUUGUCAAUUUCAUUCCGUUCCGUCCGGAAUGGCCGAAACAUUUCAUACCAAUUCAAAAAACGAAACAAAACGGAAUAAAUUUCAUCUCAUUUUAAAUCUCGGCCCGUUCCGGAUUUUUCGGCCAAAUUCCGGCCGAAACGUUCCGGUUUCAUUCCGGUUGUUCCGUUUCGGCCAAAAAAUAUUAUUUUUAAAAAAUUAAUAUAUAGUUUAUAUUAUUUUAAGUUAAAGAUCUAUUUAAUCUUUACUAUUUAAAAAUAUUUUAAAUUUUAAAAUUAUAUUUGUUUGUCAUUAUGUUUGUAUUGUAUAAUUUAUAAUUAAUUUAUCUUGAAUUUGAAUUAUGUUUGUGGAAUAUAUAUAUAUAUAUAUGAACAAUACAACCCCGAAACGGCACGCCGAAACACUCCGAAACUGAAACAUUUCGUUCCAAUUGAAAAAACGAAACACCUACCGAAACGGAAUUGACAACCUUGCUAUAAAUAGACAACAAAGUCACCAAAUCAAAGACAAAAGCAUAAAAGCAUAGAUGACAAGCAAAAAAGACACAUAAAAGAAAACAAGAAGAAGCAGAAGACAGAAGGACAACAAAUACAUACUAAAGAUCAAAUACAAAUAUUUGAGUUAUCUCAAAGAAAUUCAAGUCUAUUAAAGAGAUAAAGGAUCAAAGUCAUUAUAUUCAUCAAAUCAAAUCAAGUUAAGAUCUCACACGGUUAUGAAAAUGUUUUCUGAGAAUUGUGUCCAUCAGAUAUUUCUUUAAAUGAAGGAGCUGAAAAAAUCUAUCAAAUAAAGAGAUGUUUAGAUCACCAUGGUGAUGGACCAACUAAAAAAAUAAAAUCCACAAACUGAAAGCACCCAAAGGAUCAUAGAUCCAUCUUGAAAGAAUACUCAUCAAGAUCCUUUAUAAAGCUAAUAUUCUCCUAAAAAGCAACCAAAACAAGAGCAACAUGAUCGAACAAUAGUAUAAAAUGCUUUAAGGGACAUUAUUGGAUCAUCAUUGGGCUCACUUACUCCGUAAUAACUAUUGUAUAUGAUUGUUGAUACUAUUCAUUCUUAAGUCAUAUUCUAAGCAUAUCAAUGAAAUGAGGAUGCCACCAAACUAUCAACCUUUAAAGUUCCAACAAUUUAAAAGUAAAGGUAAUUCAAAGCAAUAUAUUGCUUAUUUUAUGGAGACUUGUAAUAAUAAAGGAACCUAAGGAGACUUACUGGUGAAGAAAUUCAUCUAGUCCCUAGAAGCAAAAGAUUAGUAUAUUUAAAAGUCUAUUGUUAUUUACAAUCAAAAUGAAAAGUUAAUAAAUCCAAUUUAUUUAUGACUUUAUCUAAAUCCAAUUUAUUUUAUUUACAACGUCUUAAUCUACCAAAUUACAAUAAAAAAUGAGAUAUAAAAAGUUUAACUGUAGAUUGUUUUUUAUUAUAUCAUAUAUUUAUAUAUAUCUUAUAAAUAUACAUAUAAUAUAAGUAUUUUAAAUAUAAUAUUAUAGACAUAUAAUCUUGUUAAAUAUUUUUGAAAUAAAUUUCAUUUUUAAAACCUUAAAAUAUAUAUUUUUUUAAAAUUAAUGCCAAAUUAGUUAGUGGUGUUAACUAAGAGUUUAUUUUGUAUGAGGUUGUGGAAAGAGAGAUUUGUGGAAGGCGUAUUUAUAAGAAGUUUAUUUUAUGUGUUAAAAAAAGUGUUUUCUAGAAUUAAAAAAAAAAAAAACACUUUUCUAGUGGUUGGAAACUAGUUUCUAUAUUUUAUCAAACAUCAGGAAACUUGGAAAACUACUUUUUAGGAAAAGUGAUCACAAACAAGGCAUACUUCUUCAUGAUCACAUCAAUUUUAAGCCAAACGAGCACUGACGGUGAUAAUUUUAAAUCUUAAGAAGAAAUUAAGAUGGGUUAUUUUAAGAUUUUGAAUUUUUUUUAUUAAAAUGUAGGAAAUUAAGUUGCCAGGCGGGCCGGGAAGAGGAAUUGAUCAAAGCCGUGUAUCAAAUUGCGCGCAAUUAGCUAUAUAUUUGAGAUAAAUGUUGAACGCAGCUAGUCAACUUGUAUGUUCAUAUACUGUAAUAUUAUAUAUAUAAGUUUGAAGUAAAAAAACUAAAGAUUAAUCCAUGUCUAUAUCCUUGUCUUCUAAGGGGUGUGUUCUUACGAUAUGAACAAAUACACUAGCACGAUUAUUAGUGAAUUUAGCUUGUCUUCUGCAAAUACCAUGAAUUAAGCAACUCGCUUCAAUGCAAGGCACAAGAAUAGAUUUUAUUUUCCAGUCUCUUGACUUCUCUGGGGAAGCUUGAAGAUCACAAGUCAUGAUUCAAGCGAGCAAGAACUGCGAGGUACGUACGAGAAUUCAAACCAUAUUUGCUAGGAAAAAAAAGAAUUCAAACAACAUUAAUUAAGUAGACUUCACCACGAAGAUAUGUAGCUAUCUCUUUUCUACAGUCAAGAUAAGUUCCUUUAGCUUUUAAAAGUAAGCCUGGGGAGAGGCUUUACAUGUGUUCUCACUCAAGUUGGCUUUACUGCUGUAGCUCACAGCAUCUGCGAGCUAACGUUUGCACGAUAAGGUAACAUUUUAAUAUUAUAAUGAUUAAAAAAAGAGAGAGAAAACAUUAUAAUAUCAUAGCCAUGUCUACCAGUAUUAAAUUAAGAGAAAAGGUUAAGUAUUUAUUGGUGGUUCUAUCAACGCAUAAAUGCUGCAUGAUGGACCAACUUAACUGCAUUUUUUUUUCGAGUACAAAUAACUGAUAAACUUAAGAAAAAUAUGUUUAAAUUUAUAAAUUUCAUAUGAAAAAUAUUUUUAAUUUAUAAAGUUUAUCAGUUAUUUGUACUCGAAAAACUACGGCAAAAGGCGGUAGCAGCUGAAAUCAAGAAGGAAAGUCUAGAAAUAAAAAAAUCAGAAUUACAGUUGGCAAACAUAGUAUCAUUCAGAAUUGAAAUUUCAGCUGCAACCUCAGUUUUAAAAAAUCAUGAAAGAUAAUAUUUAUAUGAAUUAUUUAUUAAUUUUUAUAUAAAAUAUUAAAACUCCAAAUAUUUGUUUUUUAAUUUUUUCAGGUUGACUCUGUAACCCAAAACUUAAAUAUUUGUCUUUCAAGUUAGUGAGUUGAUUGAACCAUGUCGAGUUGCUCAUUCGAUUGACUUGGAAGAAAAUUCAAAUUUUCGUGUUUUCGAUGAUAGUCUUGUUGAUGUUGACGCAGAGGAGUUGAAUGUUGUUCUUAAUAAAGAUGAUGAUGAUGAUAUCCAUAUUGAAGAUUGCGAUAAAGUUGAUGACUGUUGAAUUGACUAUGAAGAAGAAGAAAAUUCUGAGUAACUAUCAGAAUCAAGGAAAGUGAAAAACAUCUUUUUAUAAUGUAAUAUUAUGGAUGAUAUUCUGUAACAUGAAAUAUUGAUUUUAUAAUUGUUAAUUGAUGUUAUUGUUUUGUGCCGGUAGUUUGGAAUUUAAGUGUUUGCAGGAGGGUAAAUAGACAAUACAAACAUAUUCUUUCAUGCACAGUGCACGAUCACCGUGUCUCUAUAGGCGGAAAACAUCUGUCGCUAUUUUAUUGAGAGUUGUAAAAUAUUUACUGGAAAUGCCACAAUCACCAACAUCUAUACCAACGAAUACUAUAUCCAUCGACAUUUUACAGUGAGUUGAAAAAUAUUUACUAGAAAUGCCAUAAUCACCGACAUCUCUACAAACGAAAAUAUUCCAUCGGUAUUUUAUCAAGAGUUCAACAAUAUUUACUGGAAAUCCAUAAUCAUAGUCGUGUAUGCCGACAGAUACAUUCUGUCGGCAUCUGUCUGCAUUUGGCGACAAUUCACAAUUACAUACAGACUUACUGAUGGAUGGUGCGAAUUUCAAAGUGCAGGUAUUAAUACACCUCUAACCACGUGCACUUGCCGACAAAAAUAAACCACGACUGCGAAAAUUAUGGAGGGUAAUUAAAAAAAUUUAGUGUGAAAUUCAAAAUUUACCGAUGGAUUUUUGAAAAGUCACGAACGAAAUAAUUUUAAAUAAUAUUAUUUUAAUAUUCUGUCGGUAAAUCCGUCUGUAAAAUUGCGCUAUCAAUCCCAGCGACCGCCUCUUUAGUUCAUUUUUCCUCUACUUUGUUUUAGAGUUCUCUCGUUUUUGUUUUUUUCCUCUCAUUUGCUGCUAAAUUUUUGUUUUUUUCCUUGUAAUCUCUAGUUCAAUCUUCAACAAAUUAUAAGGUAUGUAUUUCCAUUUAAUAUGCUUAAUGAUUUUAUUUUAUUUCUUUGUUUUAGUUAUUGUUAUUUUUGUUGUGUUUUUUGUUUUGGUGUAUCUUUAUAAUGUAGAUAAAGUCUUGAAAUAAACCAUUAUUCAGGUAAGCAUUUUUCAUUCCUAAAGUCUAUAGAUUUUUUUUUAUUAUUGUUCAAUAUAUUCUAUUGUUUGUAUUGCCAUAAUAAUGGAAUACUUUCUUGAAUUUUAAUUGUUAUUGUUGAAUUUACCUUGUAAUUAGUAAUUGAAUAUAUAUAUAUGAAUAAAUUUAAUUAUUUUAAUUCAAUUUUACUUAUUAUUGCAUGAUAUGUGUUUAAUUAUUUCCAUUUAUUUUAAUUGUUAUUUGUAUAGAUGUUAGGUUAUAUAUAAGAUUUUUAACUUUUCAAGAGAUAAUGAGUGUGUGAUAGAACUUACAUGUGUUCUGAACCACAUGGCAAAUUGUUGAUCUUGUAAUUAAAAGAUUUGAGAUUCAGUCAGCUGUGAGUUAUUGGACAAUAAAUAUUGUUGAUGUUGCCUACAAGGUUGUUCCAAAUUAUAUAAGUGUAUGAUAUUACAUUAUAUAAAGAGUACAUUCUUAACAAAGUUUAAUUAGUAGUAUAUAUAUACUUAUUGAAUAAAAAAGUUUCAGCUCAUCACAGUUAAAUAGAACAUAAUUGUGUGUUUGUUUGAACUCUAGUUUAGACAAAUAUUUUCCCCUUACGGUAUUUUUAGGUGUAGGUCGUCCAAGAUUUGAGAAUAUUGACAAGUUUCCACUGGAAGGCACACCACCACCAUCAUCAUGCCGUGGAACAUGAUUGAUUCUUAUUCUCAAAUGAGGUUCGAAAUAGUAUGAGAUAAAUGUUGAGAUGUCCUCAACAAUAUAGGCCUCAUAUAUCAAAGCCUCAAAAUGCGCCUUGUUCUUAACCUUUUUUCUUAAGAUUGAACAAGUACUUGCAUUGAAUUAAUAAAAUAUUUUCAAUUAAGAAAAAAAAAGAAAAUAUUUUUAUAUAUGAAUUACCUGUAAUAUCUAACCAUUCAAAUGCAUACAUCCAUCUAUACUAGAUCGGUUCUCCAACUUUUGCCUCAAAUGGUAAAUGUAUGGGGAGAUGCUCCAUUGAGUCAAAAAAAUGAUGGAGGGAAUAUCAUCUCAAGUUUGUAUAGUGUCUCGAUGAUAUUUGUUUCAAGCCUCUCAAUGUGAUCAACAUUCAACUUAUUGAAGCAUAUAUAUCUAAAGAAAGGACUGACCUCCGUGAGUGCAUCCCAUAUAUCUUUUGGUAACAAAUCACGAUAAGCUAAUGGAAUGCGUGUUUGCAUAAACAUGUGGCAGUUAUGACUCUUCAUUCCAUAUAAUUUGUAUUCCUCUAUAUUAACCAACCUUGAUAUGCUCAAGACAUAUCCAUCAGGAAAACGCAGACUCUUAAGCCAUUUAUAGACUAGUAGUUGUAUAUUUUUCUCUAAUACGAAGCUUGCUCUUGGUUUUGCAACCCGUGACCCAUCACAAACCAACUCCAUAUUUUUAUGAUUAUAGAACAAAGCUAUAUCAAAUCUAGCCUUGAUGUUGUCCUUUGUCUUCCCCUUCACAUCCAUGAUGGUGUUGAAAAUGUUCUCAAACACGUUCUUUUCUAUGUGCAUGACUUCAAGGUUAUGGCGGAGGAGAUUGGUCUUCCAAUAAGGAAGCUUCCAAAAAAUACUUUGCUUUACCUAAUUGUGGGUCAAACCAAAACCAGAAACAACGAUGAUAGUAAAAAAAAGAAGCUUUACCUCUGUUUGUUAGCGUGAAUGCCUUGUUUUUUCCAUGCAGUAUGGACAUGCUAGUUUUCCAUGAGUGCUCCAACCAAAAACCAUUCCAUAAGAUGGAAAAUCAUUGAUAGUCCACACUUCAGAGUUGAAAAGCCGCCCUCAUAAAAAAAUUAUAUUUCCUCGAUAUAUCAUAAGUCAAAGCUCUGAAGGACCACAACUGCGUCAACUUAUCAAUCAAUGGUCGAAGAAAAACAUCUAUAUCCUGGCCCGGGCUGCUCGAACCGGGUAUGACAGUAGAUAAAAACAUGAACUCUGGCCUAAUACAUAUCCUUGGUGGCAAGUUAUAAAUUGGAAGUAUGACCGACCAACAAGAAUAAGGGGCAGCAAAUGACCUCAAUGGGUUGAAUCCGUCUGUACACAAUCCAAGAUGCACAUUUCUUAAUUCAGCUGAAAAGUAAGGAUGCAUACUGUUAAAGUGUUUCCAUGCUUCGUCGUCAGAAGGAUGCACCAUCACUUCAUCAACCGUAUCAUGUGAUUGGUGUCAUGUCAUGUGCUUAGUAGUCCUUGGUGACGUGAAUAACCUCUACAGUCUAGGUGUGAUUGAGAAGUAUCUAAGUUUUUUAUACGCCAUGAGAGUCUUUUCCCUGCCAGUUCUAGGCUUGUAACGAGAAUGCUCACAUGUGAUGCACUCGGUCAGCUCACAAUUUUCAAGGUAGUAUAACAUGCAUAAGUUAGGGCACAUGUUAAUUUUCUGGUAUCCCAAAACCGAGGGGUUUCAUCAUGGACUUUGUAGCAUAGAAGUUCUCUUUCAGCUUGUUACCUUUCGGUAAAAUGCUUCUCGCUCAUUCGAUAAUUUUGUCAUAACCGGCCUCAACAAACCCGUGAUCUAACUUGAUGGUGAACACUUGUGCUACGACCGAUAAUUUACUGUGGUUCGUGCAGUCAUCCCAAAAUGGUUCGUUAGAAUCCUUCAACAAAUCAAAAAACCUUGUUGCAUCUGCAUUAGGUUCUUGUUCUAUGAUUGGACAUUGAUUGACAUUACCUUGAUUCAUUCUCAUUGCAUCCAUAACCAUAUUCCUCUAAGGAUUAUUGUCACACGUCACCCGUGCGGCGCCAACUAGUGAUUUUUUCGUUCUUCGUUUGCGUUUGAUUCGUUGGGAAUCACCACCUAGUAUUUCGUUAAGGGCUACUAGGAAACCCAAAUAUACCGGUCUUGUCAGAGAUUCGUGCGUAAGGGACUGAUUGUGAUUAGGGAAGGUAUUAGCACCCCUAACGCACCUUGGCUGAGGUAAGCUGCUUCGUGGCUUUAAGGUGUUAAAGAAGUUUUAAAAUUUUAUCUUUUCAUCAGAUAUUAGAAAUACAACUUACGUAUAAGUUGAUAAUUUUUGACCGUGAGCAAAUCAAAAUAUUAAAUUCUUCUUUUUCUUCGCAAUUUUAUCAUAAAUAAAUAAAAAUUCAUAAAACAAAUGCAAACACACAUACACUUUCACUAUUUUUAUUUUUUUUCUUUUACAUCCACAUUACAAAUUAUAAAAAUUCAAAAUAUAUACAAAAAUUACAUUAAAAAAUUAAAAAAUUACAAAAAAAAAAACAAAGAGCCACUAAAAUAGAAGCAGGAACAGUGCGACCACAGGAACAGUGCUGGAAGGCUUCUUGGGUUGCCAGAAUAGUGGCGGCGUGUCUUUCCCACGCGUCAUCGCCACUAGCAGCAAGUGGGUUCACGCGCCGCCGCUAGAAAGAACUUGGAAAUAGUAGAUCAAGAACGACUUCUUCUUCUUUGUCUUCCUAAAAUGUCGGUGACCUGCAGAACAAGAAAAGAAACGCACACAACAAUCGAUUUUAGUUUUUCUUUCUUUCUUGUUUAUGGAUCGUUUUUUUUCUUCUCCGUUUUAGAUUUGUUUUUCUCUCUACAGAUCCACUAUUCUUUUGGUUUCUCCUUCUCUGUUUCAGACGGCCGGGCGACGAAUGGGUUGUUGUCGACCGCUGUGCAGCUGCUGGUGGUCGAUUCGGUCUGUGAUGGCUACGGUGGAGUUGUGUUGGAGAGGAAGCUGGCGGCUGUUUUGAUGCAGGGGAUGUUUUAGUCUGUUGUGGUUCUGUGUGGAGGAAUUUGGUGAUGGUUGUGGGGUGUUGAUGACCAGGAGAGGGAUGUUGUGGUCAGGUGAAGGGGAUGCAACCGAGAGAGGGAUGAGGGGAAGAUGGAGGUACAGGUUUAAGGGGUUAUGUGGGUAUGGACUAUUGGCUGAGGGAAGAAUGGUUGAUGGAGGAGUGAUGGAAACGGUCUCGGUGAAGGGAAAGAGAGAGGGUUGGUGGCGACUGCUUUGGCUGGUUCUCUGUGGUGGCUGAGAGGUGAGGGACGAUGGGUAUUGGUCAGUGGCUAGGAAGAGUGGGGUUCUGUGUUGUGGCCUCAAAGGAAAAGGGGGACGGCCGGUCUCUGUUGAACAGCGAAGAGAGGCUAACUGAGAUGAAAAAGAAAAUGUGAGAUCGCCAAGGAAGAAGCAAAUCCCGAACCAGUGGGGGGGGCGCGACUGGCCUUGUUAUUUUCGCCAAAUGGGGGCGCCGGCUUGGGUCAAGAGAUAGGUUUUUUAGGGUUAGGUUUUUUUGUAUUAUCUCUCCAAUGCGCAAAAUUGCCCCCUCCAUCUUGAGUGUGUUGAGGAGACCAGUAUUUAUAGGUAAAAAUGUUGCUAGGUUUUCAAACUUGGUCCCUCAACUUCUUUCUUUUUCAUGUAAAUUGGAUUUUUCUUGUUUUUUUGGAUUUUUCAAUAUCAACAUCGACUCGAAAUGAGGAAAAUCGGCAAUUUGAAAAAUAACGCGUUCUAAAAACCUUUGAAAAUUUAAAUUCUUUUGAGACGAUGCUAAAAAUUCUAAAAAUGAUGCAAAUAUAUUAAAAAAAUGUAUUUUUUGGAUUUUUUUUUUUUGUUUUCUCUAUUUUUGGAUUUUUCUGAAAAUUUAUCAAAAUAUAGGUAAAAAAUUGGGUAGCAACAAUUAUUAUUGUCAUUUUCAACUCCAUGCACGUUGCUAGCACUAAAAAUUGACCCAACUACCCUUUCUUCCAUGAUCUCAUUACGAACAACUAGUUCUCUGUGUGCAUGCCAACACAAGUAAUCCUCCAUGAACUCCUUGUGUAAAAGAUGCAUCAUUACAACAUCUAGAUGCAAAUACUUUUUAUUUUGACAUUUCCUGCAUGGACACCUACUACCGCCUCCAGUAAAAUUUCUGGGAAUAGAUAUUGCGAAAUUAAUAAAACCCUCAACCCCGUUACAAUAAUGUAUCAUCCGCAAUCCUUGUUGUGAAUCUCGAUACAUCCAAGCAUGAUUAUUCAUUACUUCUAUCGAACCUCUAUAAAAUUAUAAUGACAACAUGUAUUAAUUAACUAUGUUAGGUAAAUAAAUUUGGACAAAUAUUGUUUACCUCCACAUUAUCCAACAAACUAAUUAAAACUUCUCAUAAAUAUGCAUUAUCAAUUAUCAACGUCCAUACAAAUUUAUACAUAUAAAUUUACAAAAAUUACAACUCCGCAAUAGCAUUAAUAAAAAUUAAAACGAACCCAUUAAACAAGCUAUUAAUUAUUUCACAACAUUAAAUAUAAUUCGGUAAUUCAACAAAGUUUCAACAAUUUACAAACAAAUAUAAUUUUACAAAUUCUAAAACAAUCCAUAACAAGUACAAAAUUAUACAUUCAUACUACAAGUUUGUUUGAGAAAUAACAAUAAAACAAGUACAUACACUAACAAAAUACAUAUACUAAAAAAAACAAUAAAAUUAACAUUUAAAUGUUAAAAUUAAAAAAAUAUAGAUUUACUUACAAAAAAUGAUAAAAUCCAUAAUAAAUCAGAAUACGGAUGUUGUGACCACGAAACUUAAAAAAAUGACUUGUGCUGAGAAGAGGGGGAUUUUUUUGGGUGGGGUGGUUGUUUUCUAGUUUAGGAGGGGAUAGUUGGGAUGGGGAAGAAGAAGAAAUAGAGGAAGAGAGGGUCGGUAGAGUGGUUAUAUAUUAGCUCUUACCAAUGGAAACACCGAUGAACUCAUUAUGUCGGCGAUUUUGUUGGUAAGUUUGACGGUGAAUUGGUUAGGUCACUGUACAGAGAUCCCGUUUUGAAUCCCUCGAUAAGUAAUGAAGUUAAUUUUAUUUUUAUAAUGUAUUCAUCACUUUAAUUUUAUUGGUCUUUAUACCUAUCAAAUAUAAACAUUCAAAGGAUAUAAGAAACAUUAAAUAAAACGAGGCAUUAUUUAUUCUCCUUUUUCUCAACAUUACAUAAUAUUGAAGUUGGUUCACUAAGCUGUGAGUUAUCAAUAUUUAUUUCAUUUUUUUAUAAAAAAAAUCAAUUCUUCUUAUUUUGUUCAUGGUUCAACCUAAAAUCAAAACAUAUAUCAUGAGGAAAAAAUUGAUAAUUUUGGCGGCUCUGCUAAAAACAAAACAUAAGAAAAAUCCAAGUGUAAUUAAGACAAAUUAACUAAUAAAAUAUAUCUAAUUAAUUAUAUAUAUAAAAAAACAUCACUAUAACAAGAAUUCAAAAAACAUUUGGUAAAACUAGUACAUCCCAGCAAAAAACAAAAAGAAGCAAAAAUAAUAAAAUUAUAAAAAAACCUCAUUAAAUUAUUAACAAACAUAAAAAAAAAAAAAAAAAACAAAUUUUAAGUUUGGGGGUUAGUGAUGCUCAAUUAUGGUAAUUUUGUUUGAUGAAAGAAAAAUUAAUUGACGGAGCUAUGCUUCAAUCUUUCUAUUUGUGAUUUAUGUUCUUAUUUCUAUAUUUUACCUUAUAUAUUAGGGCUGCAGCGAGAGAAAACGGUAAAAUUCAUUCAGCUAAAAAGUUAUUUAUAACUUCAUACUUUUUCUUUCCACGUAGAUAGUUUUAAAGUUAAAAGAUAACAAAUAUAUUUACUGUUAAAAAGGCCCACUUAUUUAAAUAUAUAUUACAUCUUCUCGCACUUAAUCACUAAGCAAUAAAAAGCUAACCUACAUAAUUAGUCAUCAUAUUUUUUCUUUACAAGUGCCGGGCCCUUGCUUGCUUCCCCUUAAUUCCGCCCCUGGUUUGAGGAUUCAACAUUAAAGGGCUAAAAUGAAGAUUUAAUAUUUUUACAGGGAUUAUUAUGUACAAAUAUACUUGAUCUCUUAAAAAUAAUUUUAAAGUUAAGGGACUUUCCUAGAUCCGCCCUUGUCAAACUAGAAUCUAUAUAGCAUAUAGAAUUAAGUCCCUUAAUUAUAGCCAUUGUCUUGUGCAUGUGGGUAGACAAGGCAAGAGACUUCGAGAGAGAGGGGGGAGAGAGAGAGAGCGGUGGUUCGGUGCUUGGACCCUAUAUACAGACACAGUCCUCUGAUCUCCGUCCUCAGGUCAGCACUAACUUGUUCUGUUCUUUGAAAUGUUUAGUUUUUUGAAAUUUUAUGUUUUGGAUUUGGUUUAAGCUCUGCAGACAAUAGGUUGUUCGGUGUAUGUAGUUCCAUUUAUUUUAUAUUAUUAAAGUUGGUUUGCUUAAUUAUGUUUUAGUUUUCCAGCAUAUAUAAAACAUUUGUAAUAAAUUUUGUUGUUAAAGUCAUUAAUUGAACUAUGAGAUAGCUAUAGAGCAAGACUUGAUUAGUGGUGGUCAUCAAGUGAUUAUCGGUAUCAAUACCCAUUGCAGUCACUUUAAUUACCCAUACUAAUUUAUUUAGGAGAACUAGCUACACAUCUAAUAAAAAUGGGAACAGUAUUACAAAAGAAAUAAAACAAAAAAAAAUCAGAUUGUACCCAAACAAGGAACAAUAAGUAUUUAUAUAUAUAUAAAAAAAAACUAGUAGUCAUGUGUUUUAAGUAUUUGCUGAUUAAGUUUCAUCUUGGCAUCUCAAAGUCAUCAAAUGCUUUAUUAAAAGCAUUUUAUAAUUAUUUGCAGUUUUCCAAGCAUAUAAUGUCAAGUUUAUCAUAGAGGAAUGUGUUCUAGUUUAUCUACUAAAAGAGUUCCAUCUUUGUCAGGAAAAUUCACAAACUAAUUCAGAAUAUCCAAAUAAACCUGAUGUGUCGUAAUUGCGCACAAAACACUAGUUAGGUUGUUUUAAAUUUAAUCUUUAUUAUUUUGAAUUAUAAAUCCUCAUUAUAUCGUAAUUAUAUCAAUAAAUUCUCAGCUAAAUUGAUUCAUAUACAACACAUGUCCUAGCAUUUGAUCAAAGCUAGAUAGAUCACCCAAGUAGCUAAUUUUUUUUUUUCUAUAUUUGUUCUCCAUAUAAAACACAUUAAAUAUAUAUUAAAAACUCCUAACAAAUUAGGCUGAACCCCUCUCUUUAUAUGGGCUUAAUGAUCCCACAUGGAUCAAACUAAACAGAAAUAUAUAGGUUAUCUUGCAGAAUUCGAGGAAAACCAGCUAAACAUUUUCUAGCUUGCAUUUUUCUAUAAAUGUCAUGUCUUAAAUUUUGAUGUUAAUGUCACUGAACUUGUUAUUGAAUCGGAGGUUCAACUUGAGAUUACUACUAGUUAAUUUGCCUACUUGUUGCUGCCUUUUUGAAAUUAUUUUAUUGAAUUCUAUGGUAAUUAAAACAAAUAUUCCAAUAAAAUCAAAUGCUUUAAGUUCUUUGAAGAAAACAUCUAUUUCUCUGGUGACAAUUUCUCUAUGAGAAAAAAUGUCAUUUUUAUUAGUAUCGCUCUUUUAUAAAUCAAAACAUAAGUUAAUUAAAAUAAAUAUUAAUAAAAAAUUCAAUGAUUUAAAUGAAUAAGAAAAAAAACAAAUUCCUUUAAUAAAAAAUAUCAUUCCUUAUUCAUUCAUUUUUUUUUUAUGAAAAAAAGACAUUUUCUUUUAUUAUAAGCAUGAGUUUUUGAAAUAAAAAAAAUAACUUUGAAAUAGUUGAUCACCCUUAAAUAGAAGAUUUGAUCUUCAGAAAACAUUUAUUCAAAUUCUAAAACAAUCCUAAAUUCUCUGUUUUUUUUUUAGAUCGUUUUGAUGUGAAGAUAUCAAAAAUAAAUUUUAAUUUUUUUUUUAUUAUUUUGAUGUAUUUUCAAAUAAUAAAAAAUAUUUAAAAAAUUAACUUCUAUUAUUGUUUUAAACACCCUUAAUUAAUGAGCUUAAUUAAAUACUGGUAUGAAUCAAUUUUAUUUGAUAGCGUGAAAUUUGAUUAUAUACAUGAACAAAAUCUAGCUAAUUAUUUAGGCUAUUUAAUGUUAUACCAAGUGAGAAAUAAAGAGAAAAGGAUGAUUUAAAGUGAGAGGGGGUAGAGAAGGAGAAAAUGUGUUAUAGUGAAAAAGUUUUGAAAAAUUGUGAUAUUCAAAACCGAACUGUGUAUACCUUCCAUUCAUUCUUGGUUUGUUUCAGCCAACCUGCAGACUGGAAAAGGAUAAAUUUACCGCAAGUGCUUCAAACAAGGGAAAAGAUUUUGACGUGGGAAGUGCUUCAGACAUUGAGAUGGCUACAAAUCCCGAUUAUUAUAAAGAAAGAGAGAGAGAGAAAGCUACAGAUAUUUGGGCAAAGCUGGAUUAUGAGGUGAAACAGAUGUCCUUUAAACGGAACGGUUCCGAGUGCUGCAUCUACAGGGUGCCCAAACCGCUUCGAAACGUAAAUUGGAAAGCCUACGCUCCACUACUGAUUUCAAUAGGUCCUCUUGACCGCCAAAAUAUAAGACUAGAGGCCAUGGAAAAGGAGAAACUGAAAUAUUUCAAAAAGCUUACUGAACGGGUUGGGAUGGAUAAGAAGAAAAUUAUUGAUAUUUUGAUCAGCAUUGAGAACCAAGAAGAGCGUCUCCGACACUGUUAUUCAGAGAAAUUCAAAUCAAUCGAGAGCCGUGAUUUCGUAGAGAUGAUACUGCUGGAUGCUGUGUUCAUCAUUCAGUUUUUGUUGGAGUCAAAGGAUCAUGAUAUUAACGAUCCUAAGAAUUUUGAACCCAGGAUGACAUUUGACAUCCGACAAGACUUGAUGCUACUUGAAAACCAACUGCCAUUCUUCAUUAUUCAGGAAAUAUAUGACCAGCUCAAUCCCCCCAUUCCUUUUCUUGAUCUUGCCACGUUACAUUUUCGAAAGUACAAGUUUUCACAGGGGCCAGAAACCAGCCCGAUUGUAAAGGGAAGCAGGCAUUUCACUGAUUUACUAAGGAAUUUGAUGUUGAAUGGAGCCAUUACGCAACGUUAUCGUGUUUAUCCUAUGAAGCUGAAAUAUAGUGCGGUCAUGCUUCGCAAGGCAGGAGUGAAGUUUCAGGCCACCCAAGACAAAUGCUUGGUCAACAUAAAAUUUGAGAAAGGAGUGUUGAAAAUACCAGAGUUGGAAGUUGAUCACAGCUUCGAACGUCUUGUACGAAAUAUCAUGGCCUUGGAGCAGUGCUGCUACCAGCGAGAAGCUUACGUAUGCAGUUACAUUAAGUUUAUGGACAAUCUUAUCAACAGUGCAGAAGACGUGGGUUUGCUAGUCCGGAAGGGAAUCAUUCUCAACCGGCUAGGUGACGAUGCUGCAGUUUCAAAUAUAAUUAACCAUUUUUGCGAAAAUAUUGAUGACAGUUACACUUGUUUCGGUGAUAUCUCUCAAGUGAUAAAUGCCCACUAUGAGAGCCGCUUUAACCGUACGAAAGCAACCUUGAAACUUGUAUAUUUCCCCAAUAUUUGGAGAGGUACGGCAACUGUUGCAGCAGCUAUCCUGCUGAUCCUCACUUUGAUACAGACUAUAGCUUCCGUAAAAUCGGCAUUCUAGGAUUUUAUCUUGUUUAGCUUUAUUAUUCCUACGUAAUGAGGAAUUGGGUUUGUGUAGUUCUGAACUAAUAAUAUUGUAAUGGAGUUUGCAAACAUAAUUCAGAUUAACUAUUAGAAAUAAAAUAAAUUUGUAGUGUGAUUUUGAAAAUCAGGUAGAACCAAAAGGAAAUUUCAUUUAAUCUUCCUAUAAUAUAUUGAAAUGGAAAAGAAUGAGGGAUUUGAAUAUAAAAAAUUAAAGAAACAAUAAUUCUGAAAGUAAUAACUUGAUAUGUAGUUAGCUUAAUUCAAGAUUCUAAACAUCCAUUCAUUUAAAUUUGUUGAUCAUCGAAGUAAAAUAAAUAUUAUUUUAUAUAAAAUAAAUAAAUUUGAUAUUUCUUGAAACUAAGGGAAAUCAAUGAGUUUAUUCAACAAAACUCUUUAAUUAAUUUUUAUUUAUCAAAAUGUAUGAAUAUAUUAAAGAUAAAAAAAUAUACAAGAGAACCAACAAAUUCAAUAUCAAAGAUUUAUAUAAAAAAAAAACCAUGCUCCCUAAACGUCCAGCCCAACAAAAAAAUAGAGACAACCAAGCAGAAAAUGAACUUGGGUAGAUUAGGAACCUAAUUAAUAAUAAGGUGCCCUACCUAACCAAAAGCAAAAUAACAGUACCAGCUCACCAAUCUCGAACAAUGGGCCAUGCUGCAUCAAAGUAGGCAUCAAGGGAACCUCAGCACAAACAAAGAACCAGCAGAGAUGUAGCACACCAUUCUAACAUGGAUGAAGCCAGCAGGGGCAUCAAACACAGAGAAACCGCAGCAGAAGAGAAAUAAGACUGAGAAGAACAAAAAAGACAGCAGCAACAACACCAUCCAAACCAAAAAAAGGCCAUCAGCAGUAGCAAAAGAGGAUGAAACAACCCUUUGAAGAUCACACCGAGAAGCAGAUCCUGAGAACUGCCCAAAAGACAAAGGAAACAAGCCAAUCAGAGCAGGAAAGCAGCCCCCAAAUUAGAGAUUGAAAUGGUUUUUUUCAUGGAAAUGCAGAACCAUGAAGAACAUAACCUGCAAUUUUUUAUAAUACAAAAUUGCAGGUAUUAUAAAAAAUCCUCUUCUUUCGCUCUUCCCAAAUUAAGUAAAUCAGAAUACCAAGUGAGACUCUUCGCAAUAUUUAUGGUCGACAUAGUAGAGACAUGAAAUGGCAAUAUUUAUGGUCGACAUUCGCAAUAUUUAUGGUCGACAAGCCAUGAUUUCGUCAUCCGCCAUAAGAGAGAAGUCUAGUGGCAAGCAAAAAACAGAUGGUUGUGGGAUUCUUCUUCAUCUCGGCAGAAAGCACAACUAGGAUCAGUUUGUAGGAACUGAAGCCUAUCUCGGGUGCGAAGCUACCCCAUCACAGCCAACCACAUAAUAAAAUUAUAUCUGGGCAUAAACCAAGGCUCCUAGACCACCUUUGCCCAAGAAAUUGGAGUACCUUUAAGCCGCAGGAAGUUAUAAGCAUUAGCUAGGAAAGGAUGGUCUACACUGCUCCAAGUUGUUAGAAAACGUGUUUAUAACUGCUGUUGGUGGAGUCAUAAACAUUGUUUAGUGGUUUGAAAUAUUUCAAACCUGUUCUUAUUUCUUUGUUUUCAGUUAUUUCUUUGUUAUCUAUGAUUUGAUCAUGGCGUAAUCUUAGGACCAUGAUGUUAGUGGGUUGUUAUUAAACAAGCUUUAAAUUGUAAUGCUACAGACGUUAAUUGUAUUCAAUUUUUCAGCUUCAAAAUCGAUUGCUCUCAUUUUCUAUUUUUUCUUAACUACAACAAUACUCUGUUUUUUCUUUCUUUAUUUUAAAACAAUUACAAUUGGUAUCAGAGCUAUCUUCUUAUAAGGACAUGUGUGUGAGUUUGAUAUAUCAUAGAAGCUGAAGCUAGUUUCUCAUCAAUUGCUCCGCUGGUGUUUGAUGCAGACAACUCCCAGAUUUGGACAGUACACAUUGUUGUUACUUAUUUUUGGAUUCUCAUACAAAAAUAAAAAAAUAAUCGGAAGAAAUCCAAAAAACUAAUAGAAGCAAGAAAAGGAGACGUGGUGUUGCAAUUAUGAUUUUUUUUAUAGGGAAAGAAUGAUUCAUCAAAGACCACAUGGAGAGAAAAAACAUUUGUUUUUGCUGGAAGCUUGAAAACAUUUGUAUCCUUUUUUGUUUAUCAUUGUAUCCUACAAAGAUAUAAAGGACUGUUUUUUGAUAAAUUUAUGUUGUCUUGUAUCUUAGGUGUAAGGGAAGCUUUUUAGACCCAAAGACUUGAGGAGAUGAAUAAUAAGGAAGAGUUUCGUGCAAUGUAAAGUAUGGAGAUUCAGAAUUAAGAGCGGAUGAAUGCAAUCUAUUAAUAAGGAAGACAACUGUGGUAAAGCUUUUAUCCAUAAAAAGAAUACCUCUGUGAAAUAACAGUCAUACCUGUGGAAAUGAAGUGUGAUGAAAGUUUAAAGCUGAUGUAUUUUCCUUCUCCAUCAGAGUGAAAUCCUUGAUCUGUAGUUUAAAGCUUAUGUAUUUUUUUCAUUAAAAUAUUAUCCUCAGAUAUAAAUAAGAUGGAUCCAGGAUUCAACAUUAAAGGGCUAAAAUGAAGAUUUAAUAUUCUACAGGGAUUAUUAUGUACAAAUAAUUCAUCUUUUAGAAAUAAUUUUAAAGUUAAGGGACUUUCCUAGAUCCGCCCUUGCCAGGCUUGAAUCUAGAGAGCAUGUAGAAUUAAGUCCCUUAAUUAUAGCCAUUGUCUUGUGCAUCUGGGUAGACAAGGCAAGAGACUUAGAGAGAGAGAGAAGGGGGGAGAGAGAGAGGUGCUGCAAUAUAUAUAGGAAGAGGCUCGCUGCUUGGGACUCUAUUUACAGACACAGUCCUCUGAUCUCCGUCCUCAGGUCAGCACUAACUUGUUCUGCUCUUUGAAAUGUUUAGUUUUUCGAAAAUGUUUAGUUUUGGAUUUGGUUUAAGCUCUGCAGACAAUAGGUGCUUCCAUUUUUUAAAGUUGGUUUGCUUAAUUAUGUUUAGUUAAUUUUCCAGCAUAUAUAAAACAUUUAGAUUUUGUUGUUAAUUUCAUUGAACCUGCUGUGAAAUGAUCAGAGGUUCGACUUUAGAUUUAUAUGGGUAUUAAGAUAGCUAUAGAGCAAGACUUGAUUAGCGGUGGUCAACAAGUGAUUAUCGGUAUCAAUACCCUUUGCAGUCACUUUAAUUACCCAUACUAAUUUAUUUAGGAGAACUAGCUACAUAUCUAAUAAAAAUGACCAACAGUAUUACAAAAGAAAUAAAACAAAAAAAAAUUAGAAAAAAAAAUCAGAUUGUACCCAAACAAGGAACAAUAAGUAUUAUUUUUUAAAAAAAAACUAGUAAUAAUGUCUUUAAGUGAUUUGUUGAUUAAGUUUCAUCUUGGCAUCUCAAAGUCAUCAAAUGCUUUAUUAAAAACAUUGUGUCGUAAUUGUAUCUAUAAAUUUUCAUGUCAUAGCAUUGAUCAAAACUAGAUAGAUCACCUAAUACUAUUUUUGGGAAGCUAAUAUUUUUUUUAUAUUUGUUCCCCAUAUAAAUUUAAACAACAUUAAAUAUUAAAAACUCCUAACAAAUUAGGCUGAACCCCUCUCUCUUCAUAUUGGGUUAAUGAUCCCACAUGGACCAAACUAAACAUAAAAUAGGUUGUCUAAAAAACGAGGGAAACCACCUAAACAUUUUCUAGCAUGCAUUUUUCUAUAAAUGUGAUGUCUUAAAUUUUGAUGUUAAUGUCACUGGACUUGUAAUUGAAUUGGAGAUUAAACUUAAAUUAUUAAGUUAUUUUAUAUAACAAAUGUUAUGCUUUUAUUUAAAUAUAUAUUGUUGUAAUAAAGAUAACAAACAAGUAAAUAUUAGAUAUAAUAUGAAUUACAUAAAGAUAUCUAAGUGAUGAAGCAAGUCAUCUUAAUGGAUUUAUCUUUUCCUGUGUAAUGGGAGGGUAUGUAGUUUCAUUUAUAUAUAUAUAUAUUAUAUAUAAGAAAUAAAUAGAUCCGGUCUGGUUUGUAAGAAUUUAAGCAAUUGAAUAGGAAAACCAGUUUUUCAAGUGAAUCGAAUUACUGUUAUGAAAUACUUGACAACGAAGGAAUUUAAGCAAUUGAAAAGGAAAAACCAGUUUUGUAAUAGAAUUUAAUUUUUUAAUAAUGCAUCUGUCUUGUAAAGGAAUAAACGACAACGAAGAAAUGCACAAUCUUUCCCUCUCACUAUCAAUUUUUCCAUCAACUUUAAAGGACGCUUGGAAAUUUUGUCUGCAGGUGAGUGUGAACCAGCUAAGGCUGCAUCCAAAUAUAAUUAUAAGAUAAACAAACAUCGUUUCCAUUAUGGGGCCUUCCUCCAUGCAUUUGAAAUUUUUAACUUCACAUGCUCAGUGGGUUGAUCGGUGGGUUUUUUUAUAUAUAUAAAGACUAUCUGCAGAUAGAAAAAAAGAUGGAUCCAGGAUUUAAUAUUAAAGGGCUAAAAUGAAGAUUUGAUAAUUUUACAGGGAUUAUUAUGUUCAAAUAUACUUGACCUCUUAGAAAUCAUUUUAAAGUUCACAUUUAUAUAUUUAUAGCCAUUUUCAUAUGCAUGCAGGUAGACAAGAGACUUAGGACCUGUUUGGAACGCGGUUUUAAACGAUUUGACUGGAAAAGGAUAAAUUUACUGCAAGGGCUUCAAACAUGAAAAACGAUGUUGAACAGGCAAGGGCAUCAAACAUGGAAGACGAUGAGUCAAGUGCUCCAAACAAGGGAAAAGUUAUUGAUGUAGGAAGUGAUUCAGACAUUGAUAAGGAUAUUAACAGCUUAAGUGCUUCAAACAAAGGAAAGGAUACAGCAAGUACCUCAAGUAUUUCAAACCCGGAACUCAAAAUUGAGAUGACUAGCAGGAUUUUGGAACAGCUGCAUGAUAAGAUGGAAGGGAUGACCUCUCAACAGGACCGGGCUGAUUGCUGUAUAUACAGGGUACCCAAAUCGCUUCGAGGCGUAAAUUGGAAGCCUACACUCCACUACUGAUUUCAAUAGGUCCUCUUCACCGCGAGACUAAAAAAUAGAGGCCAUGCAAAAUCAUAAAUGGAGAUGUUUCAAAGAGUUAACGAACAGGAUGGGAUGAAUGAGGAGAAAAUUAGGGAUCUUGUGAUCAGCAUUCAGAAUAAAGAAAAGUAUAUCCGAAUCUGCUAUUCAGAGAAAUUCAACCGAAUCAGUAGCUGUGAUUUCAUAGAGAUACUUUGCUGGAUGCUGUUUUCAUCAUCAAGUUUUUGAAUGAGUAUAAACAGCCUAAUCAUUUUGAGCCCCGGAUGAUGUUUGACAUACGAGAAGACUUGAUUCUACUUGAAAACCAACUACCUUUCUCCAUCAUUCGGGAUAUAUAUCAAGAGAUCAAUCGUGAUCUCCAAGAUGCAACGUGGGAAUCUUUUCUUGAUCUUGUUACCUAUGUUUUUGGAAAGCACACAGGCGAUAUUGCUACGUUUCAUUUUGAAAAGCACAAGUUUUCACAAGAGGCAGAAACCAGACAGAUUGUAAAGGGAAGCAAGCAUUUCACUGAUUUACUAAGGAGUUUUAUGCUGAAGGGAUCCAUUGAACGAACUUAUAGUUUUAAUCCUAUCAAGCUGAAGUAUAGUGCGGUCAUGCUUCGCAAGGCAGGAGUCAAGUUUCAGGUCACCCAAGACAAAUGCUUGGUCAACAUAAAAUUUGAGAAAGGAGUGUUGAAAAUACCACGCUUGGAAGUUGAUCACAGCUUCGAACGUCUUGUACGAAAUAUCAUGGCCUUGGAGCAGUGCUGCUACCAGCGAGAAGCUUACGUAUGCAGUUACAUUAAGUUUAUGGACCAUCUUAUCGACAGUGCAGAAGACGUGGGUUUGCUAGUCCGAAAGGGAAUCAUUCUCCACUGGCUAGGUGACGAUGCCGCAGUUUCAAAUGUGAUUAACAAUUUUUGCGAAAAUAUUGGUAACAAUUACACUUGUUUUGGUGAUAUCUCUCAAGAGAUAAAUUCCCACUAUGAGAGCCGCUUUAACCAUACGAAAGC
rnacentral:lncRNA from 1 species